AUGGGAACGCGAAGAACCUUACCUAGACUUGACAUCUCCUGAAUAGUGUAGAGAUACAUGAAGCCCUUCGGGGCAGGAAGACAGGUGGUGCAUGGUUGUCGUCAGCUCGUGUCGUGAGAUGUUGGGUUAAGUCCCGCAACGAGCGCAACCCUUAUUACUAGUUGCUACCAUUAAGUUGAGCACUCUAGUGAGACUGCCCGGGUUAACCGGGAGGAAGGCGGGGAUGACGUCAAAUCAUCAUGCCCCUUAUGUCUAGGGCAACACACGUGCUACAAUGGUGAGUACAGAUAGAUGCUAUACCGCAAGGUGGAGCCAAACUCUAAAACUCAUCCCAGUUCGGAUUGUAGGCUGCAACUCGCCUACAUGAAGUUGGAGUUGCUAGUAAUCGCGAAUCAGAAUGUCGCGGUGAAUACGUUCCCGGGUCUUGUACACACCG
rnacentral:rRNA from 1 species